GUGCUCACUUCAGCAGCACAUAUACUAAAAUUGGAACAAUACAGAGAAGAUUAGCAUGAACCCUGUGCAAGGAUGAAAUGAAAAUUCGUGAAUCAUUCCAUAUUUUU